AUUGCUGUUCUUCAUGUCAUUCUUCAGAUCGAACACACAAUAAACUGUUAUAUGAAAUGAUUCUACUGCCUGCUGUAACCAAAACAUUUCUCACCUCUGUUUCCACACACUUAACCCAUGAAAAUAGUGGGGGUUUAGUUUCUAAUGUCCAACAGAGUCUAGUGAUGCUCUUGCAUGAUCAAAAAGAAAAUUGUUGUAUUCAGAACUCAGUUUCCUUGAUUUCCAUCAGAAAGGGAAGAACAGUAUGUCAACUCUGGGCUAUUUAAUGGUUACUAUCAAUCAAAAUAUGCAUGACAUGGGGGAAGAGAGAGAGCAUAAAACUUAGUAUUGCCGCAUACUCCUGUUUUGUACGAGUACUGUUCAUUCUGUUGUGUUAUCUUAAGAAAAAGAUUAAAAGAAAUCAACAAUGUGGUCUGUCACAUUUUUUACAACUUGUUUGCUAGUUUGAUCCAAAAAUCUCUAGAGAGGGCACACAAAUCUGCAGAGCGUCCCUUGUUGAAUUCUCUUAAUUGGAAAGCCCUCAGAUAUUGGUUUUCUUUUGUUUGAAUCAGCUAUAUUAAAGAGGGGUACAAAAUUAUAUGAACAAUGCAUUGAGAAAAAACUCAGAUAUGAUUUAUUCCAUCUAAAGUGCCAUAUAUUCACUUUAGAGACCAAGGAACACCAUAUGCAGACAAAGUGACAUCAGGUAUACUUCGCAAACAGCAGGAGAGGAAUGACUUGGUUAUUUCACGGAACAACCCGUUUUGAAGUUCUACUUUCACAGGUGCUGUGAGCACAUGGAGCCAAGGUCCUGGACAUAUAGGAGGUAACUGUGUUAUCACAAAUUAAUGUGUAUAUUUUAAACAUUGUGGGCCAAAGAAAAAAUUUAAACUGUUUUUAAGGCUGUGUGUUGCUCCCUCUGAAACAAAGCUUAUGGUUCAAAUCUUGGACCAACAAGUUGGUCCAAGAUGUCAUUUUACAGUAUUUAGUUACAGAAAAGAAAGUUUUUGAGAUACUAUAAUUUCUUUUAAAUUGGCCAGCCAGCUAUUUGCUGGUUGAAGUACUAUCUACAAUUCCUUUUAUACCAAUUCUCUUUACCUUUAUCAUUUCACUGUUGCACUGUCUAAUUUCAUCAUCCUAAUUAACAACUAAGUUAUAUUUUGAAAGAAAUGCACUUGGUCCCUCAAAGGUUUAAAUUUUCAGUCCCUAUAAUCAUAUAUCUAAACAGAAGAAGAAGAAACACACACACAGCUGCAUACAAUGGAUCCUUCAAAGUUAUCAACUGCAGCUAAAGCACUUGCUUAUAGAAACAAGACUUUGUGACUGAUUUAUUUGCUAAAAGUCUUCCUGGAGGACUGCCCAGCUGGAGACAAUACUUACCCCUGAGGGCUGAUUACUUGGCUUGCCUCUUGUCCACAUCACCUGAAAGCUGUCACUUCAGCACAAGGAGAGAUCAAGAUGUCCCAUGGGGAAAAAUGAAAAAUAGACACACUGUAAAGUCAUAUCCAUCUUUUUGAAAUAACUGCUGCUUUCCCAGUUGCCAGAAAAUGUGACUAUUUAUACUAAAACUCAUUUAAUAAGGGCAGAAAGAGAAUUAAAAAACCCUGGCAAGGCCUGUUUGUCCACACACUUAGCCUAUUACAGGAUGUAGUGCUAUCUUGCAUGCUAAGAAAAAACAAACAAACAAA